rnacentral:sRNA from 1 species
CAAUUGACUGCCGAAGACAGCAGGUGCCGAGAGGCAUAAGUUGGUAACGCCUGCCGAGGAAGAUUUCAGUUCAUUAUAUGAACCGUAACCUCUGUGUCUUUGGAUACAGAGGUUUUUAUAUUGG